CGUAACAAGGUCUCCGUUGGUGAACCAGCGGAGGGAUCAUUACCGAGUUUACAACUCCCAAACCCCUGUGAACAUACCAAUUGUUGCCUCGGCGGAUCAGCCCGCUCCCGGUAAAACGGGACGGCCCGCCAGAGGACCCCUAAACUCUGUUUCUAUAUGUAACUUCUGAGUAAAACCAUAAAUAAAUCAAAACUUUCAACAACGGAUCUCUUGGUUCUGGCAUCGAUGAAGAACGCAGCAAAAUGCGAUAAGUAAUGUGAAUUGCAGAAUUCAGUGAAUCAUCGAAUCUUUGAACGCACAUUGCGCCCGCCAGUAUUCUGGCGGGCAUGCCUGUUCGAGCGUCAUUUCAACCCUCAAGCCCAGCUUGGUGUUGGGACUCGCGAGUUAAAUCGCGUUCCCCAAAUUGAUUGGCGGUCACGUCGAGCUUCCAUAGCGUAGUAGUAAAACCCUCGUUACUGGUAAUCGUCGCGGCCACGCCGUUAAACCCCAACUUCUGAAUGUUGACCUCGGAUCAGGUAGGAAUACCCGCUGAACUUAAGCAUAUCAA
rnacentral:rRNA from 1 species